rnacentral:snRNA from 15 species
UUACUUAUCAAAACGGUGUCAGUAAGUGAUCAAUAAGACGCAUGGUAUAAGUUGGUGGCCUCCAUUGCACUUUGGGGGUCAUCCCCUCAAAGAUCUUUCAAAAUCAUGGAGCCUAUGUUAUAAUUUGUUGUAGUGGGGGCCUGGGUUUUUAGAGUCAUUUG